rnacentral:rRNA from 1 species
AGAGUUUGAUCAUGGCUCAGAACGAACGCUGGCGGCGUGCUUAACACAUGCAAGUCGAACGCGAAAGAUUUCUUCGGAGAUCGAGUAGAGUGGCGCACGGGUGAGUAACGCGUAAGUAAUCUACCCCUGCAUCCGGAAUAACCUACCGAAAGGUGAGCUAAUACCGGAUACGUUCAUAUGGACGCGAGUCCAUGUGAAGAAAGGUGGCCUCUUCAUGAAAGCUACUGUGCAGGGAUGAGCUUGCGUACCAUUAGCUAGUUGGCAGGGUAACGGCCUACCAAGGCGACGAUGGUUAGCGGGUCUGAGAGGAUGAUCCGCCACACUGGAACUGGAACACGGACCAGACUCCUACGGGAGGCAGCAGUGAGGAAUAUUGCGCAAUGGGGGAAACCCUGACGCAGCGACGCCGCGUGGAUGAUGAAGGCCCUUGGGUCGUAAAAUCCUGUCAGAUGGAAAGAAGUGCUCUAUGGCUAAUAUCUGUAGAGUUUGACGGUACCAUCAAAGGAAGCACCGGCUAACUCCGUGCCAGCAGCCGCGGUAAUACGGAGGGUGCAAGCGUUGUUCGGAAUUACUGGGCGUAAAGCGCGCGUAGGCGGUUUCUUAAGUCAGAUGUGAAAGUCCCCGGCUCAACCGUGGAAGUGCAUUUGAAACUGGGAGACUUGAGUAUUGGAGGGGGUGGUGGAAUUCCCGGUGUAGAGGUGAAAUUCGUAGAUAUCGGGAGGAAUACCGGUGGCGAAGGCGACCACCUGGCCGAAUACUGACGCUGAGGUGCGAAAGCGUGGGGAGCAAACAGGAUUAGAUACCCUAGUAGUCC